CCCAGUUUUCCUGUCCUAGCUACACCACUGUAGUGUACUACGUAGUGAAACAUGCCUCUGCAACAAGCGAGGCAGAGCUCCUACAAACAACAGCCUCCUUCAAUACACAACCGUGAUUCAGCCUCAGAACAGGCCCAGCAUAGUCCAGUGGGAAAAAUACCAAAGAUCUUAAAGUUGUUUACCAACUCCUGCACAAAAGUCAACCCAGUUCAAGACAGGGAAUGAAGAAUGCCUCAUUCAGUUCAAA